CUGCAGGGAUGAUAAAAUGAACUCUCUCUUUCUGAUGGUUCAGUGGAGAAGUUUUAGUAAUUUCUGAGUGGC